CAUGGGGUUGCGGCCAUAAUUCGGGCUGGAGCGGGUGAAAUUAUUGGAUCCGCGCAUGCGUGGUGGUCGCGCUCGCUAAAUACGCAAAUAAGCUGUUAUUCAUUUUAGAAACGAACGUAUCGCGUGGGGCGAUUAUUUAUGGCAGCGAAAUGCUAUGAAUGAAAAAAGUUAUAUUAGUGCUUUACGUUCGUUUAUGUUCAUUGAUUUCUAGUCUUGGCACUUUCGUAAGUGGUAUUCGAGUAUCAAAUACGUUUAACGCAAUCUUGAAUUUAAAUUAAUGAAAUAUUUAUAAUAAAACACCACGGUGACAACUUCUCCGCUGUCAUAUAAACAUCCAAACAAACGGUGUGGUUAAAGUACGGUGCUGCCAUACAUACUGAAAACAUCAUGGAAACCUCGCUACCUGCAUCGUCUUGGUGAAAUACCGACAUCUUUAUUGACGUUUUAUCAGCCAUAAGAGCAGCUUGUCUAAAGAAUUGCAACGUGAUCAGUUGAUAGCGGAAAAUAUAGACGUUUCGAAUAUUUUAGAGUUUUCAUGACCUACUACCACCACGACGCUUAACGCGAAAUUAAUCCAUAUAAGUAGUUCUAAUUACGGAAGAGCGCCAGCUAGAUGGGUGGACCAACUCAAGGAGGUGACUGGAGGCCAGAUACAGGGAGCGGUACAUAUGGCGCAGAACCGGACCGAGUGGAGAAGAUUGACAUAGAGCCACGAUCCUCAGCAUUGAGGGAACGACCAGAAAGAAAGAAAAUUAUGACUUGCUAAAACCGAAGAUAAUGCUAAUUUAAGAAUUAUUAAGAUCUACCCUCUUUCUGUCACAAUACGGGAACCCUCGCUUGAAGCAAGGGCAGGUUUCCACGCAAUCAUCUUCGCAGUACCAGUUCUUGAUUUUACACGAGCAUGCCUUAAUGCACUUGCAGACUCUGAACUCAUCCUGCAACCAGGAAGUUAAGUCCAAGACCUUUCCGUUGAUGGAAACCCAACAGUCUGUCGCCUUAUUGUGAACGGCUACCUCGGCCGGCGUGUACCAUUCUUGUUUAGUGUAUUUCAUUGGGUUAUCUUUUAUUGAAAUUUUUUGACAUUACUGUCAUUUUGAUAGGUGUAAUUAUUUAAAUAAUUUAGAUUUUGUAGAUUUAUAGAGGAUUUAAUCUUUAAUCCAUAGGCUCUCAAACUACAUUUAUGUGACGUUACAUAACUUUUAUAUAUAUAUAUUUUCGGCGCCAUUUUCACACGUGGUUCUUCAAAAAUUCGUGAGCGAAUUUAGUUUUAUACUUCAACCAUCACAUUCUCUAGUCAAGCCAUUAGUAGAGGCAGCACAGAGUUUGUUUUCUCAGGCAUUCUGGCGUGAGCCCCCCCUAAUGGAAAAAAUUCCCUUUGUCUUUUACGUCCACGUGCUGUUUCAUAGUUUACUGAACAAACUUUUAAAUCAGGUAUUUUAUUCAUUUCAUUAAUGUUCGAAUCACGGCCCACUUUUAACUACCAUUACCGGAGACAGCCUCAUGUAUAUGAGCUGCUCAUUAAACCAGAACGCGUCGCUCUUACCCCACGUACCUACCUAAGCUGAUAGCCUUGAGAGGCUAUAUCAGCGUAACCUUAGCUAGUAGGUGAGCUCACAGUGCUCAAGCCGGAAUGAUGCUAGCACUGACCCUAGCAAGAGCCGUGCUUCGCAGAAUCUACCACCGGAUCGGAAACGCGACCCACUGAGAAGAUCCGGCGAGAAACUCAGUGGGCUGUGUCUAUGGGGGCUCCGCCACUACUACUAUCUGUUACUAUCUGUAUUUAUAAGCAAUUUUUGAAGUCUUUUAAUUUUAACAUCACAAUAUUGAGAAACAUAAACGUAACCACUAAAAUUAAAUAAAUAAAUAAAGUUUUAUAAACAAUAUACUUUAUUGAACGUUAUAUACAAUUGAAUGAGCUACGUGACCUAUUGCAGGUAGCUCAGUCGUCUUUACAGAGUAACAAAAUGAAAAAAUAUUGCUAUAAUCUGUGAACGUAAAACUCCGACAGUGACAUGACAGCGUCGCCGCGUAGUACAAGUGGCGCCACCACGCCGGAGCUAUCGGUCCCGCUCAUUCGUUCGUUCCAUCAGCUGUCAUUAAACUCAACAAAACCUGUUAUCUUUGUUUUAUAACGUUACGAGGCACUCUCGUUAAAGAUAGAUCAAAUCGAAAGGUGAAAGGCUAUAUGGUUUUAGCGACAUUUUUGCAAAUAUACAGGACUAUAUAAAGCAUUAAAAUUUCGAAAAAAAAUCAUGAAAAAAA